rnacentral:rRNA from 1 species
GAUGAACGCUGGCGGCGUGCCUAAUACAUGCAAGUCGAGCGAACGGACGAGAAGCUUGCUUCUCUGAUGUUAGCGGCGGACGGGUGAGUAACACGUGGAUAACCUACCUAUAAGACUGGGAUAACUUCGGGAAACCGGAGCUAAUACCGGAUAAUAUUUUGAACCGCAUGGUUCAAAAGUGAAAGACGGUCUUGCUGUCACUUAUAGAUGGAUCCGCGCUGCAUUAGCUAGUUGGUAAGGUAACGGCUUACCAAGGCAACGAUGCAUAGCCGACCUGAGAGGGUGAGCGGCCACACUGGAACUGACACACGGUCCAGACGCCUACGGGAGGCAGCAGUAGGGAAUCUUCCGCAAUGGGCGAAAGCCUGACGGAGCAACGCCGCGUGAGUGAUGAAGGUCUUCGGAUCGUAAAACUCUGUUAUUAGGGAAGAACAUAUGUGUAAGUAACUGUGCACAUCUUGACGGUACCUAAUCAGAAAGCCACGGCUAACUACGUG